UACGGAGGGUGCAAGCGUUAUCCGGAUUCACUGGGUUUAAAGGGUGCGUAGGAGGGCAGGUAAGUCAGUGGUGAAAUCUUCGAGCUUAACCCGGAAACUGCCAUUGAUACUAUAGGUCUUGAAUUAUCUGGAGGUCAGCGGAAUAUGUCAUGUAGCGGUGAAAUGCUUAGAUAUGACAUAGAACACCAAUUGCGAAGGCAGCUGGCUACAGGUAUAUUGACACUGAGGCACGAAAGCGUGGGGAUCAAACAGG
rnacentral:rRNA from 1 species